rnacentral:rRNA from 1 species
AUUGAACGCUGGCGGCAUGCCUUACACAUGCAAGUCGAACGGCAGCACGGGAGUAAUCCUGGUGGCGAGUGGCGAACGGGUGAGUAAUACAUCGGAACGUGCCCAGUAGUGGGGGAUAGCCCGGCGAAAGCCGGAUUAAUACCGCAUACGACCUACGGGUGAAAGCGGGGGAUCGCAAGACCUCGCGCUAUCGGAGCGGCCGAUGUCAGAUUAGGUUGUUGGUGGGGUAAAGGCCUACCAAGCCGACGAUCUGUAGCUGGUCUGAGAGGACGACCAGCCACACUGGGACUGAGACACGGCCCAGACUCCUACGGGAGGCAGCAGUGGGGAAUUUUGGACAAUGGGGGCAACCCUGAUCCAGCCAUGCCGCGUGCGGGAAGAAGGCCU